rnacentral:rRNA from 1 species
CCAAUCAGUCAAGAAUACCCGCUGAAUUUAAGCAUAUAACUAGGCGGAGGAAAAGAAACUAACAAGGAUUUCCCUAGUAACGGCGAGUGAAGCGGGAAGAGCUCAAAUUUGAAAUCUGGUAGCCUUCGGUUGCCCGAGUUGUAAUCUAGAGAAAUGUUUUCCGUGCCGGCCCAUGUACAAGUCCCUUGGAACAGGGCGUCAUAGAGGGUGAGAAUCCCGUCCUUGACAUGGACCCCCGGUGCUUUGUGAUACAUUUUCAACGAGUCGAGUUGUUUGGGAAUGCAGCUCAAAAUGGGUGGUGAAUUCCAUCUAAAGCUAAAUAUUGGCGAGAGACCGAUAGCGAACAAGUACCGUGAGGGAAAGAUGAAAAGAACUUUGAAAAGAGAGUUAAACAGUACCUGAAAUUGCUGAAAUGGAACCGAUGGGAGGCAGUGUUUCUGGCGGUUUUAAUCGUCGGUUA